CCUACGGGAGGCAGCAGUGGGGAAUAUUGCACAAUGGGGGAAACCCUGAUGCAGCGACGCCGCGUGAGUGAAGAAGUAUUUCGGUACGUAAAGCUCUAUCAGCAGGGAAGAAAAUGACGGUACCUGACUAAGAAGCCCCGGCUAACUACGUGCCAGCAGCCGCGGUAAUACGUAGGGGGCAAGCUUUAUCCGGAUUUACUGGGUGUAAAGGGAGCGUAGACGGCAGCGCAAGUCUGGAGUGAAAUCCCAUGGCUUAACCAUGGAACUGCUUUGGAAACUGUGCAGCUAGAGUGCAGGAGAGGUAAGCGGAAUUCCUAGUGUAGCGGUGAAAUGCGUAGAUAUUAGGAGGAACACCAGUGGCGAAGGCGGCUUACUGGACUGUAACUGACGUUGAGGCUCGAAAGCGUGGGGAGCAAACAGGAUUAGAUACCCGGGUAGUC
rnacentral:rRNA from 1 species